ensembl:lncRNA arylacetamide deacetylase
GCUGCUACCAGCUAAGACGCUGUUAUCCAGAAUGUCCGUGUACCCAUGUGUGGGGUGGAUGUGAAACCAAGCUGCCCUCUGGGAAGGAGAUUGUCAGCUGUUAGGAGGAAAGAAAAUGUGAAGAGCAAAUUGAUGAUAGCUGCUGACAUCUUUGCAGGGCAGACCAUGACAUCAGUCUCCAGAGCAAUAGGAGGUGGCAGGCAUCCUGAGAAGAUCUGUGCUUUCAAGGAUUUGUCUAUUGCCAGGAAGGCUGAGUUUGCCGAGUGGCUGGGUCUGAUGCACUAUAUGGAAGUUCUAAUGCUGAUCACAGUUACUGAACAUGUCCCACCAACGUCAGAUGAAAAUGUCACUGUAACAGACACAGAGUUCAGUAAUGUUCCAGUUCGUUUAUAUUUGCCCAGAAAGCAGCUGAGUGGAUUGAAAAGGGCCAUACUUUACUUUCAUGGUGGAGGAUGGUGUGUAGGAGAGGCAGGCAUGAAACCCUAUGACCUUCUGUCAAGAUGGACUUCAAACCAGUUAAAUGCUGUUGUGGUAUCAGUCAAUUACAGGCUGGCGCCUAAAUACCAUUUUCCAGUUCAGUUUGAAGAUGUGUAUGCGGUAACAAAAUUCUUCCUCCAAAGCAGUGUCCUCUCGCAAUAUGGGGUGGACCCAAAUCGGAUCUGUGUUGCUGGAGACAGUGCAGGUGGCAACUUAGCUGCAGCUGUGGCACAACAGUUGUUAGAUGACCCUGAAGUCAAAACUAAACUUAAAGUCCAAGCUUUGCUUUAUCCUGCUCUUCAAACCCUUGACCUGAAUUUGCCAUCUUACCAAGAAAAUGAAAACAAGCUGAUUCUACCCAAGUCACUUAUGGUCAGGUUCUGGAGUGAAUAUUUCACUACUGAUUCCUCUCUUAGAGAAGCAAUGGCCUCCAACAGGCAUGUUCCAGCUGAAGCAAGCCACUUAUUUCAGUUUGUAAACUGGAGUAAUUUACUGCCUGAAGAGCUAAAAAAAGAUCAUGUUUAUACCAGUCCCGUUUAUGGAAGCUCCAACCUUGGGAAGAAGUAUCCAGGGUUUCUGGAUCCAAGAGCGGCACCUCUGCUGGCAGAAGAUGCCAAGUUACACAGCUUGCCUCUGACGUAUGUUCUCACGUGUGAACAUGAUGUCUUGAGAGAUGAUGGGAUUAUGUAUGUCUCGCGCCUUAGGGAAGCAGGAGUUAAAGUAACACACAAUCAUGCUGAGGAUGCGUUUCAUGGGGCUUUAGCAUUUAUUUCAAGCCCAGCCAACUUAGCUGUAGGACACAGGUUGUUAAAUCACUAUAUUAACUGGUUAAAUGACAACCUAUAA